CGCGGCCAUGCCGUAAAACCCCAACUUCUGAAUGUUGACCUCGGAUCAGGUAGGAAUACCCGCUGAACUUAAGCAUAUA
rnacentral:rRNA from 1 species